rnacentral:rRNA from 1 species
UUAAGCAUAUAACUAAGCGGAGGAAAAGAAACCAAACGGGAUUUCCCUAGUAACGGCGAGCGAAAAGGAAUCCGUCCAGCGCCAAGUCUUGACACUGAGGUGCUCAAGAGAUGCGGCGUUAAUGUGUUGGCGCAUCGUGCGCUGUUCCGCCUUUCAAGUUCCUUUGACAGGGACGUCCAGAGCGGGUGCUAGGCCCAUAGAGAGGCGGAACCAGCGGGCGCCGGCCAACGCAUUCUAGAGUCAGGUUGCUUGAGAGUGCAGCUUAAAGUCGGUGGUAAACUCCAUCYAAGACUAAAUAUGACAGCGAGACCGAUAGCAAACAAGUACCGUGAGGGAAAGUUGCAAAGCACUUUGAAGAGAGAGUUCAACAGUACGUGAAACCACUGACAGGCAAACAGAUGGAACCACGAAGUGUGCGCCUCGCUCGAUUCAAUCAUCGCCGACGGUUGGCCGCGGCGGGCAGGGGUUUCUCGGAAUCCGGUCCGCCGAGGCCGGCAACCGGCGGCGGUGGUGCAUUUCGUGCCGAGGAUGCUAAGCCACGUUCGACCAGACAGUUGGGACGGCCGUAGGAUGGGAACCCGGAAAGGUGCCCGUCAGGUGCUUGCGCCUGGCGGCGUUAUAGUCCGGGAUCGGCACCGUCGCCUAACACACUGGUCGAUGCAAGUUCUCCGCAAGGAGUGAAACCGCAGCUGCCUGCGCCGGCUAGUCGUCGUUUCGGGGCGUUCUUUGCGUGCUCUUCGGUGCGAAAAGACGUUCCAACGAUGGCGGCUAGUCGGCGCUUGCGUGCUGCGG